CACCGCGGUUAUACGAGAGACCCAAGUCGAUGGCUUUCGGCGUAAAGAGUGGUUAAGAUUCAAUUAAAACUAAAGCCAAACGACUUCAAAGCUGUUAUACGCACAUGAAGACAUGAAACCCAACCACGAAAGUGGCUUUAAACUUCUGACUCCACGAAAGCUAUGGAA
rnacentral:rRNA from 1 species